rnacentral:lncRNA from 1 species
GAGUUUGCAGUUUCUCAAACACUACAAAGAGCAAAUUUCACACCAUCACCAGUGUCUUUAUUUCUACGGUGAUAAGACUUUUUAUUAGGGAUCUCAUUUCCUUUCUUUCUCUACACAAAAUUCUCAUUAUGGCCACAGAGCAAUUGAUAGGGCAGCUGUUUGAAAACAGGUCUAAUUUUCACAUUAGGGUUUUAAAUAAAUUAGAAACUAUUUGAGGCUAUGAAAAUGUCCUUGAGUUUGGCACCUGAACUCUGGUGGAAUGCUGAUACAUUCUGAUAACGGGAAUUACACUUAGAAGAGGGAAAGCCGUUUCGUCAUCUGUCCUUUUUCCACUCAACAGAAAUCUGAAAGAUACGUCUUUAAGUGGAAUACUUAAAGGUUUAUCUAAAUUCUAAAAAUUUAAAAGGCAAUUGUGGGCUAUUUUUAUCUUCUAAUAUAUUGAAAUAAAGUUUCAUGUCUAGGGCUGGGAGCCAGGAUUGACCUUUUCUUUGUUUCUUUCUCUUUGUUUCCACCCGUGCUUUUGUAACUUGUCAGGUAAACUUGACCAAACCAUGUUCAUUCUGUGCCUUGGUUUACCUUUUUUGUAAAAUGGGUUUAACAAUACUUACCUACCUCACAGGGGUGUUGUGAGGCUCUAAUCAUUUGCUUUUUCAUUCUUUCCUGUAUUCUCUGUAUGUCCAGCGCUUUGUAGCCAUGGGAGGAAAGGGAAUAUAAAAGUAUACCAUGUUAAUAGAAGGCUGCUGUACCCAGAAGCCUUGUUUUCUAGCAAGGAAAUGCUACCUUGCUGUAAAUACUUAUAACCUUGUAUUUGGAAAUGAGAAAUAGGUUUAUAUUUGCAGACCUCUCAAAAAAUCACAUCAUUUGACCAAAGAAUAAUUUAAGACGCACAGAACAGACAUAUCUUUGACUUAUGUUUUCAUCCUGACCAACUUGGAUUUCUAAUAAUUUUUAUCAGUAAUUUGAAAAGGUUUAGAUUGAUUUUGGCCAAAUAUGCCAACUCUGAGUGACAGGCAAGGAUUUGGGAUUUAAGAUGCACUUUCAGUACAGAUUUUUUAUUUUCCCUGGCAUAUCAGAUUAAGCUAAUGGUGGUAUUUUUUCAGUCAAACAGCCACCAAUCUGAAAAUGUAUUUCCUAUGUUGAUUUUGAACUUCUUUUAUUAAGAAGGAAGCCCAUCUUAUGCAUUUUGCUUUCAUCAGCUGAUUCUCUCUUAACAUACUAUUAAAACAUUUCUUACUGAAUGGUUUAUGUAGGCUGGCUGAACAACACACAUUACUUGCUUCCUAAAGUAUUCUUCAACUAAUUCUUUUGUCCCACUAGUUGCUGCAGAUUAUCGAGUUUCAAAGGAACAGUGUAUCCUAACAGAUUAAAACAUUCUUUGUGAAAUGAGUGCAGUCCAAGAAAUUGGUGAACUUUUGGGGUUUGGAGAGAACAGCUGAAAGAGGAUUUGGGUUAUAUAGUGCAGGGAAGAGACAUCAUAGGUGAAAAGAUUUUGCUAAAAUGGGGGAAAUCUUAGAAGAGGGAGUAAAUAGAGGAUCAUGUAAAACAAGGUCAUUUGAAACUUGCAUCCUGACAUUCAUUUCCAGUGGUGAAGAGAAAAGCCUGAACCCAUAACCCCAGUGCUGGAUGAAAUUAGGCAAUUUUACCCAACACCUGGGCAAGUGCUGUCCAGGAAUAUCAUAGAGUAACCAAUGCUGUCCGCCACAGGAGCUUUUAUUGUUAGUGAAUCAAUACCACAGACACCUAUUAUGUAAUGUACACAGGGUACACGCAUUCAAUUUUGUUCAUUCGUUAUUGAUUAAAAAAAUAGAAGUUUGAUAUGUGAUUUGGAGGAGUAGCCUUCUGGCUCCUAAACCAGGUGUCAACAGAGGGCCUCAGGGACACAAAAUUCAAAGGCAUAUCCCUGUUCCUUAUCAUCUAUACACAGAAAACAGAUGAAUACAUACAAACUAUCUGUCUGUGUCCCCAGUCCCCCCCACCACCAAAACAAGGCGCUGAUUUGUAGGGUACUUGGCAGUUUAGAUCAAGCAGGAAGAAGUGACCGGAUAAAAAAGGGAAUGACAUUUAGGGUAUAAAGAUCUCAUAAGAAAUGUAAUAUGUAAAUUAUAUCUUGCUUUAUGAUGUAAAAUAUACAUUGUUUGCGCUAGAAUAGAAAUGAUUCCUUUUCAAUAAAAAGAAAGAAGGAUACUACUAUGUCUGCUGAGUCUGCUGGUUCUUUUUGACCUUCAGAAACACCUGCUAAGAUCUAAGAUUGCACUCAGAAAAGAGUGAAGGUAAGAGGGAUUUAUGAACAAGAGAACUUUUAUCAGAGUGUAAUAAUAUUUUCUAAAAAAGGGAAAUAAUCUAUUGUUCUCACAAACAAAGACAAAUGGUGGGAGAAAGAGGGGACUUUUUUUUAGUAUAAUGGAUAAGUGUAAAGUGGAUCUUUUAGGAGAGUUUUGCUAUUUUUCAUCCACAUCUUUAGUAUCCACAAUAACAGAUAUCAUUAGACAAAACAGAUUUUUUAUAAAGCACAGCCUUUUCUUUUAGAAAAAAGAAGUAACAAAGUAACAUUUUUUAAGCACCUAUUGUUAUAGCAUUGUGUGUGGUAACUGGUGGAGGCGUGAUAGAAAAACUAAAUAGGAAUCGAGUUUUUUCAUACAAACUGAAAUCUGAUUUAAAAGGCAACUACAGCAUGAACAAAUUUAUGCAGUAGUUCAAGACAAUAAAUUAAUGUUGUCAAAGAAAUAGAGCAGAUGGGAGUUCAGAAGAGGAAGCAAGAAAACACUGUGAACUGGAAUGGGAGAGGGUUUCGCGGAGGAACUGGGACUUGAGUUUCAUCAGCAAGGAUUUGGUCAGGAGAAGGGAAAGUGAUGGCUUUCAGGUAGGGGGAAUGGUAUGCAUAAGAAAGGAUGAAGGUAGGGAUACGGGAAUGAGGAAUUUGUUUCAGGAGCACGGCAAGAUGGGCCUUGUGACCGCCUGGAGGGGUGGGAUAUGGAGGGUGGGAGGGAGACGCAAGAGGUAAGAGAUAUGGGAACAUAUGUAUAACUGAUUCACUUUGUUAUAAAGCAGAAACUAACACACCAUUGUAAAGCAAUUAUACCCCAAUAAAGAUGUU